GGGUGUUGAGGGGCUGCUGAAGGAGACGGCAAGGGCUGAGGAAGAUUUGAGAGGAGGCCCUGCCUCACAGCACGUGGGGAACUGUAUGUUGCCAGCCCCGAGGCAAAGCUCCCACAAGCUGCUCAACCUAACAGAGGGACUCCUACGGGCUGUGAUUUUGGUCUACAGGGAGCUGGCAUUCGCCUGGUGCCAUGGACAUCAUGCUUUGAAAAAUGUUGCUGACGAAGCAUACCGCAUAACAACUGUCCAGGAAGGUCAUUGGAGAAGGAACAGGAUACUGGCCCUCUGAACUAAUUAGACCGCCAGCAGCCAGCCCAGUCCAAUUCAACCAACACGCCCACUGAUUCAAAACAUUUCUUAUGGAGCUCCUACACUGGGCGUGGCCGUAGGCCCUGCGUUAGAGACCCAAGACCCAGCUCUUGCACCAUCCGUGGCAGGGAAGACAGGCCAGAGCAGGGACAUUACGGUGUCAUGACAGUUCUGUGAUAAGGAAAGCCCAGAAUACUCUAGAAACACCUAGAAGGGGCAGUCUUGGAUGAUUACGAAAAGCUCCUUGGAGGAAGGAAAGGGCCAGGAGCCAG